GAUGAACGCUGGCGGCGUGCCUAAUACAUGCAAGUCAAGCGAACAGACGAGGAGCUUGCUCCUCUGACGUUAGCGGCGGACGGGUGAGUAACACGUGGAUAACCUACCUAUAAGACUGGGAUAACUUCGGGAAACCGGAGCUAAUACCGGAUAAUAUAUUGGACCGCAUGGUUCAAUAGUGAAAGACGGUUUUGCUGUCACUUAUAGAUGGAUCCGCGCCGCAUUAGCUAGUUGGUAAGGUAACGGCUUACCAAGGCAACGAUGCGUAGCCGACCUGAGAGGGUGAUCGGCCACACUGGAACUGAGACACGGUCCAGACUCCUACGGGAGGCAGCAGUAGGGAAUCUUCCGCAAUGGGCGAAAGCUUGACGGAGCAACGCCGCGUGAGUGAUGAAGGUCUUCGGAUCGUAAAACUCUGUUAUUAGGGAAGAACAAAUGUGUAAGUAACUAUGCACGUCUUGACGGUACCUAAUCAGAAAGCCACGGCUAACUACGUG
rnacentral:rRNA from 1 species